AGCAGAUGCUGAUCAUGAUUAUGACUACAUGACUGAAGUAAAAAAGAGGCACAAAGAUGAUCCAGAGUCAUAUUCGGAGGUCACAUAUACAGAGGUCUCAUGGUCAUAUGUGGAUAAAGAUGAUUCCAUGGCAGAGUCAAAUGAUGGGACAUACUCAGAAGUCAUAACAAAAAUAGAAAUGCAAAUACAAAGGUCUCUGAGUGCAGUGAAGACAACAGACGGCUAAAAGAGAUUCACAGCAGCAGACACAGUGACACUUGCAUUGCUUCAGAAAUGAAUCUGAGUGAACUGCUUACACACGUGCUUGAUUCAGCUACUUUAGAGAUACAUAUACACUGUAUUAUCUGUACGCAUGAGAGCAAACAAAUCUAUCUAUAAUAUAUAGUAAAACACUUUUACCAGUGAGCACUGUUGUUUAACACAAUUAAUAACUUAAAGUUAUCACAGCAAUUAAAUUGUUCAAAAUAAAGAAAAAAUAGUAUAAAAUGAUAAAGUGUAACUAGCACUUUGUUGAUAGUUACAAAUUAAUGCUUGUGUUUUGCCAUUA